rnacentral:tRNA from 1 species
CCCCUGGAAGACUAGUGGUUAGGCCUCGGUGCUCUCACCGCUGUAGCCCGGGUUCAAUUCCCGGUCAGGGAA